ensembl:lncRNA
CGCUGACAUGUAAAAAGAGGAAACAAUGUAAAAAUACACUGGAACUAGAGACACGGGGAAAAUAGGGCAGAAAAAGGGGAACGGUAAAAGGGCAAAUAACUCUUAAAUGAUAGGACAUGGUGAUGGUGAAAUAAACUGGUGUCAUAAGGUUCUGAGUUUUUCAGAAGUUGUCCUUUCUUUCUGUUAAUUUCCAUCUGUCCUGUACACCACUGUGCCCCAUUAUUACAGAUGAAUUACCCGGGGAAAAUGACAAGUUUUUGGCAAUGAGGAGCCAUAUGGAUCCCGGCCAGGAGAUCAUCGUGCAUCAAGCACCCAGGUGAUCUUAAGGUGUCAGACCAUGGCUGAUGAAUUACAAGAGCACAAAAAAACAGCAUCAACAAAAAUCUGCAUCAGUGCAAUAGAUUCUGGGUCUCAGAAGCCCUUCCUUCUGAAUAUAGACAAACAGGUUCUCUGGGCCCCAUCCCCUCAGGAAAAAAUACGAUCUUAUCUUGGAAAUACACCAGGCUCCACAGCAAAAGAGCUGCACAAGAGCAGAGAACCCCAGGAAACCCUCAUCACAUGGAGCUGCAAAUUUCACCAGUGUUUCUCAUCUGCUUCUUCAGGGUCAGUCAGCUUCAGAAUUUAACACUGGUGAGCACCCCAACACUUCCAUGUUUGUAUCUCUAGCCCAGCUGGGUCUCAUCUGUAUUCACCUGAAGGGAGCUCACUGAACGUAAAGAGUGUCCCACCUGACCGUGUUUUGGUCCUAAAGUCAUUCCUAUUUACUUUUAUCUGAAAAUGAUCGCUCAAAGUAAAAACAGCUACACGGGCCCAACUAUAAUGACACAGACUUUCCUCCUCUCUAAAUAAAUAUGAACAGGACUAAAACUGAAUAAAAAUAACUGUUCUGUUGAAAAGUCCUGAGUGCGUACAUGUGGAAACUUCUAAGAGGCCAAUAAAUAAGACCAUCUGAGUGAAUGAGGCUUUUAUUCUCAGCUUGAGACUGCAGAGGCUGAAACUGAUACGCAGCCA